rnacentral:lncRNA from 1 species
UUCACAAACAAGUCAAAUACUUGCCCAUCAAUAUAAAAAAAUUAUUCAAGGAACAUUUCAUAACUCAUGGAUACAACAUUAUAUAAUCUUGUCUCUAGAAUUGUCUUUAGGACAUAUCUCUAAUUGGUAGGAUAUUUGCACCCUCCAAUGUGAGGCAUGACUCAGCAUGACGCUUUGCUAGUAUAUAUAACGUAGAAUCUUGAAAAGAAUGUAACAAAGUAAAAAGAAAUGAUAAUGAGUAAAUAUCAUGCUAAAUCAUGUAAUGGCUCUCUAAAGUUCCUUGUUCUUUGAAACGUAGUCAAAACCGGUCUCAUCUUUAGUUGAUUGACUUGCUUCGGUUUCCUUCUCUUCGUAGCUAGAAUCGACGUCACCUUUAGUUGACUUAUUUGUUUUCGGCUUCCAUCAUUUGCCAACACCAGCACCAAUACCUUUAUGUGCACCGACACCAAGACCGGCAUUGGCACCUACAUUUGCUCCAAUGCCUACAUUUGCUCCAAGGCCAACACCAGCACUAGCACCACCGUUUGCACCGGCACCGCCACCAAGACCAGCAUUGGCACCUACGUUUGCUCCAAUACCUACAUUUGCUCCAAGGCCAGCACCAACACCAGCACCAAUACCUUUAUGUGCACCGGCACCGGCACCAAGACCGGCAUUGGCACCUACAUUUGCUCCAAUGCCAGCUCCAAUGUUAGCGCCUCCAUUCGCACCAGCACCAGCACCACCACCAGCACCAGCANNN